UGACUUUGUCAACCUAUCUUUGUCCCACUUGACCUGACGAGGGGUCUUCCCCACCCCACCCGUUCGUGCUGCAACAGAGCUGCAAUGAGGCUGGCUUUCCUGGAGAGAAAACAGGGAGGAGAGAGGCUGGUAUCAAAACUGUACUGCUUCUGUCCAAUGGUUGGUGUGAG